AUUGAACGCUGGCGGCAGGCCUAACACAUGCAAGUCGAGCGGAUGAAGGGAGCUUGCUCCUGGCUUCAGCGGCGGACGGGUGAGUAAUGCCUAGGAAUCUGCCUGGUAGUGGGGGCUAACGUCCGGAAACGGGCGCUAAUACCGCAUACGUCCUGAGGGAGAAAGUGGGGGAUCUUCGGACCUCACGCUAUCAGAUGAGCCUAGGUCGGAUUAGCUAGUUGGUUGGGUAAAGGCCUACCAAGGCGACGAUCCGUAACUGGUCUGAGAGGAUGAUCAGUCACACUGGAACUGAGACACGGUCCAGACUCCUACGGGAGGCAGCAGUGGGGAAUAUUGGACAAAGGGCGAAAGCCUGAUCCAGCCAUGCCGCGUGUGUGAAGAAGGUCUUCGGAUUGUAAAGCACUUUAAGUUGGGAGGAAGGGCAGUAAGUUAAUACCUUGCUGUUUUGACGUUACCAAAAGAAUAAGCACCGGCUAACUUCGUG
rnacentral:rRNA from 1 species